rnacentral:rRNA from 1 species
GACGAACGCUGGCGGCGUGCUUAACACAUGCAAGUCGAACGAUGAAGCUGGAGCUUGCUCCGGUGGAUUAGUGGCGAACGGGUGAGUAACACGUGAGCAAUCUGCCCUUGACUCUGGGAUAACUGCGGGAAACUGUAGCUAAUACCGGAUACGAGAUUUGGAGGCAUCUCAGGAUCUGGAAAGAAUUUCGGUCAAGGAUGAGCUCGCGGCCUAUCAGCUUGUUGGUGAGGUAAUGGCUAACCAAGGCGACGACGGGUAGCCGGCCUGAGAGGGUGACCGGCCACACUGGGACUGAGACACGGCCCAGACUCCUACGGGAGGCAGCAGUGGGGAAUAUUGCACAAUGGGCGAAAGCCUGAUGCAGCAACGCCGCGUGAGGGAUGAAGGCCUUCGGGUUGUAAACCUCUUUUAGUAGGGAAGAAGCGAAAGUGACGGUACCUACAGAAAAAGCACCGGCUAACUACGUGCCAGCAGCCGCCGUAA